rnacentral:lncRNA from 1 species
UUUUGUUUUAUUCUCUUGAACAUCCAUUGUUUAACUGAGUGUGCUCAGUAAGCGGGAGAAGCACCCCUACCCCUGGUGGGCCAGUGCUGCAGGAGGGCCAUGGCAGCACUGCUGGCUGCCAAGGAGGAGUAAGUAUACUUUGGCAAGACCUUGUGCAUCUUGCUUCCAUGUCCUACAGACUUUCAGUGUUGUCUUUAAAUGGAUGAGAAGAAAUGAGCAGUCCAAGUUAGUCAUACAAGCAGAUGGUGCUGCUCUCUACUCUCCUCUAGGAUGGUCUCCUGGUUGUACCCAAACCUUGGAGGGCCUGUGUGUAGCAGGGAGGUGUUGUGGACAUGGUUCCUCACAGUCUUCAAGUGAAAACAGACUCUUCUCAGUUGCUGGGCACUCAAAGGGACAUCCCCAUGGUGUCACCAUCUCUUUGAAGAGGAUGCGUUCUGUUCUGUGGUAGUGAAGACUGUGUUAAACAGGAAGAAAGAACCCCAAAUCCUCAGGACCAUGCAAAGCAAUUAACUGUGUUCUGAAGGUCUGGAUUCCAAGACCACUCUGGAGAUGCACGUUCUCUGAAGAUUUGAUUUCACUGGGAGUCUUGAAACGCUGAGAAGAGUUAAUCUCUCUGUUCCAUGGCUCAGCCGGAGCCAGUCCUUACUGAAGCUCUUUGCGAAGGAGAGAGAUUGCUGAUCAAACUCCUGCUGGGUGUGGGGGAGGCCAGCACCUCUGGACUCCAGAUGCGACUCUCUGAGAGACUCUCAUUGCCCCAUCUCCAGCAGCGAUUCCUCUGCAGGUCUCACCAAUCUGGGAAAUUGGGCAGGAAAAGGCCAAGAGUGUGGUUCUUCUGGAGCCCUUGCAUCAGGCUGCAGAAGUGGAGGCUGUGGGCUGGGCUGGCUGUGCCCUGGCUGCUGGAGCUCCCCGUGGGUACCAGUGCUCCAUCCACCACUGAGAAGCCAUGCUCCCGGCUGCAGAGGCACUGUGAAAUGUGGGAAGCGCUCGGGCUGCCUAAUGCACGCGUGAUGUUCUGAUGGGUACGUACAGAAGAACUGCUGCAGAAUAGGCUGUGUGUCUUGUCGGAGAUCUUAAGUUAAAUAGGGGCACUUUGCGUCAUUGUUUUGAUCUUCAAAAUACAAGGAAAUUGAAUGCAAAGAGCUGUAGGGAACUUUCAAAGGCAUAUGAGCAAUUACGAGCAUGAGUCCUUUUGGCUGAAUAAUCACUUCUGAAUAUUUUUCUCUUCAUGUAUCCUUAACUCCCCUCAAAGUACUAAUGGCAAAACAGGUCUGGGAAAUCUUGGCAUCCUCAGGCUGAUUUGUCCUAUUGGUGAAUCUCUGGAUGUUAAGAGACGGUUUAGAUUUCAUCCUGAUGGCUACUUUUACUGGGUCGGUA